rnacentral:rRNA from 1 species
AUUGAACGCUGGCGGCAGGCCUAACACAUGCAAGUCGAGCGGAUGAGUGGAGCUUGCUCCAUGAUUCAGCGGCGGACGGGUGAGUAAUGCCUAGGAAUCUGCCUGGUAGUGGGGGACAACGUUUCGAAAGGAACGCUAAUACCGCAUACGUCCUACGGGAGAAAGUGGGGGAUCUUCGGACCUCACGCUAUCAGAUGAGCCUAGGUCGGAUUAGCUAGUUGGUGAGGUAAAGGCUCACCAAGGCGACGAUCCGUAACUGGUCUGAGAGGAUGAUCAGUCACACUGGAACUGAGACACGGUCCAGACUCCUACGGGAGGCAGCAGUGGGAAAUAUUGGACAAAGGGCGAAAGCCUGAUCCAGCCAUGCCGCGUGUGUGAAGAAGGUCUUCGGAUUGUAAAGCACUUUAAGUUGGGAGGAAGGGCAGUAAGUUAAUACCUUGCUGUUUUGACGUUACCAACAGAAUAAGCACCGGCUAACUUCGUGCCAGCCGCCGCGGUAACAC